GGUAUUUUUUUUCCCAGCAAUUUAUUACUCCUUACUCCGUCCACCAAAAAUCAAAAGUAUGACACUUUUUAUUGCCACAUAUUUUAAGAAAAUUAAUGGUGAUUUUUAUAUACGUAGUGGAGAAAUGGUCCCACCAUAAUUUGAAAUGAGUGUUUCAGAUUAAAUUAAAGAUGAUUUUUUUGUAAAUAAAGGGUGUUUAUGUAAUACCCCGUUUCCUCGAGCAAAGUUUAGAAUAAUUUUGAACUUAGAUUUAAGAUGAUUCACGCCGGAUUGAGAAAAAGAAUUUAUUUUAAUUCCAACAAAAGUGAUUUACAAAAGCAUUUGUAAAUUUAGUUAUUAAAUUUAUAUGCAUUGCAUAUUUAUUUAAUUCAGCAUUCAAGCAUUUUCACGAGCUUUUAAUUAGCAAACCCUGGAGAAUUUCUAAAAUUUCGAUAAUUUUAUCCUGAGGGAUUUUAUAUGUCAAAUCCUCACUCAACUCACUUACACUCAUCUCUCCCAUCAGCCACCCUACCCUGCUGCAGCCACUCUACUAGCCCCAAUUUCAGUUUCAAGCCAUGCCUAAGGGCAGGCUGUCAAAUUCCCUUGCUUAAGCAUGUUCAAGCCAAUUUCAGUUGGCAUUCUCAAUAUCCAAGAUUUUCAGACUUUCUCUUCCGCAGCAAGAAUUCAAGUGCAGAGCCAAUCACUCCAGAUUUCAUACGAAUUUCCUAAAGGUUAAUGGCUGGUGAUGACGGGCAGAGCUGAUGCUAGAGUUCAACUCCUUAUUUUGACUUCCGCUGUAGAACUAGCCAGUAUCUGUCUUUUGUUCCUUAACUUAAGGCCUAUUAUGUUGUGACUCUAAACAAUAUCUUUUGUUGAGCCUAGACUAUUGACUCUCAAGUAUAUGUCGAUCAGUGAAUGUUGGUUAUCUGAAGCAUGACACUAAACUUGUGAUCCUGAAGUUAUUAUGUUUGUUGAUUGAUUCGUAUCA